AUUGAACGCUGGCGGCAUGCCUUACACAUGCAAGUCGAACGGCAGCGGACCUUCGGGUGCCGGCGAGUGGCGAACGGGUGAGUAAUAUAUCGGAACGUACCUUUCAGUGGGGGAUAACGUAGCGAAAGUUACGCUAAUACCGCAUAUUCCGUGAGCAGGAAAGCAGGGGAUCGCAAGACCUUGCGCUGAUUGAGCGGCCGAUAUCAGAUUAGCUAGUUGGUGAGGUAAAGGCUCACCAAGGCGACGAUCUGUAGCGGGUCUGAGAGGAUGAUCCGCCACACUGGAACUGAGACACGGUCCAGACUCCUACGGGAGGCAGCAGCUAAGAAUCUUGCGCAAUGGGCGAAAGCCUGACGCAGCAAUUCCGCGUGGAGGACGAAGGCCCUCGGGUCGUAAACUCCUUUUGCGAGGGAGAAGUUCUGACGGUACCUCGCGAAUAAGCCACGGCUAACUACGUGCCAGCAGCCGCGGUAAAGUCUAG
rnacentral:rRNA from 1 species